UAAAUAAAGAUGACAAUAAUAAUAAUUGUAAUCAUCAUCAAUAAUAAUAACAAUACAGCUAAUUUGAAAGUUAUGUUAAUUUUAAUGUUUUCAAUUUUAGAGUACUACAAAGAUGCCAUUAGGCUUAUGACUCAAUAUCAGAAAGGCUGCAACACCUCUGACCUACAGUCUGAGGCAGAGCAAGAGGGUGAGCUGCCAGAGAAAAGAGUCAGAAAGCCAAUGUAAGUGUGUUCUGUCUUGUUUCCGUUCUGUUUCUACAGUAAUAGGAAAGUUAUUUUCCAUAGCAUUCAAAAAUUAACCAGAGAUGCUUGUACUAUAUAUUUGGCAAUUUGGGAAUUGCAAUAACCAUACUGGUUACUUAACAGCCAUCGUUUUGGGGACUCUGAUGAGAGUGACGAAGACCCAGAAAAUAGUGACACUGCAUCUAUGAGGAUGCCACGACCUUCCAGCUUGCCUGCACCACCAUCUCGCCGAGUGCCAGGCAGCAGCGUACCUACUCCCUACUGUGUAGGUAAAGACGGUUCUCCAAAAUAAUAUUGAAUUAACACAGCAAUGGUCACUCUGUUUCAAAUCAAAAGAUUGCAUCUGGAUUAUCAUCUCAGAUCUUCAAGGUGAAUCCAUUAAUGGGGUUGAAAUAGGUAGUGUAGAAGUAUACCAACAUUUUGAAACAUACAAAUUCAUAUUUAGCAUGACCAGACUUUAUUUGGCAUUGUUUGUCCCUUUAGCUUGCAUGCCUCGCAGCCUACCAUGUGACCUACAAUGGUCACAACCAUUUAAUACCAAUUUCUCUCCCUUAGCACCUGAUCAUGGGCCAGGACAGCAACACCCUCCACCACCUCAACACCCUGCACCUGCAUUUAACAUGCAGAGAGUUACUCAAGGAACGGCAGUCCCUCCCCAACUCCCUCCACCCCCCGCACCAGCCCUCAACAUGCGGCGAACAGAGGAGCCCUGUUCAAGCAUGACCUACAGACCAACAUGGCGAGGGGGAAGAAUGAACGAUACAAUUCCCUGCUCUGGUGAGUAACAACUAACAAAUACUGAAAGGAGAUUCUGUGCCACAGAUUUACGGCAAAAUUCCCACAAUCAUCACAUAUUUUUUUGGAAACUUUCUCAAUAACUUUUGUCAUUAACUAAUGUCAAUAACUAAUGUCCAUAUUAUGAGUAAUAACGAUAAACACUGAAACGUGAUAUAUUUUAUACAUUACAUUUUAGCUAUAUUUCAUGUUUGUCAACAGCGGCUGAGGUCCAC